AGCGGCGGACGGGUGAGUAACACGUGGGUAACCUGCCCAAGAGACUGGGAUAACACCUGGAAACAGAUGCUAAUACCGGAUAACAACACUAGACGCAUGUCUAGAGUUUGAAAGAUGGUUCUGCUAUCACUCUUGGAUGGACCUGCGGUGCAUUAGCUAGUUGGUAAGGUAACGGCUUACCAAGGCAAUGAUGCAUAGCCGAGUUGAGAGACUGAUCGGCCACAUUGGGACUGAGACACGGCCCAAACUCCUACGGGAGGCAGCAGUAGGGAAUCUUCCACAAAGGACGAAAGUCUGAUGGAGCAACGCCGCGUGAGUGAAGAAGGGUUUCGGCUCGUAAAGCUCUGUUGGUAGUGAAGAAAGAUAGAGGUAGUAACUGGCCUUUAUUUGACGGUAAUUACUUAGAAAGUCACGGCUAACUACGUGCCAGCAGCCGCGGUAAUACGUAGGUGGCAAGCGUUGUCCGGAUUUAUUGGGCGUAAAGCGAGUGCAGGCGGUUCAAUAAGUCUGAUGUGAAAGCCUUCGGCUCAACCGGAGAAUUGCAUCAGAAACUGUUGAACUUGAGUGCAGAAGAGGAGAGUGGAACUCCAUGUGUAGCGGUGGAAUGCGUAGAUAUAUGGAAGAACACCAGUGGCGAAGGCGGCUCUCUGGUCUGCAACUGACGCUGAGGCUCGAAAGCAUGGGUAGCGAACAGGAUUCGAUACCCUGGUAGUCCAUGCCGUAAACGAUGAGUGCUAAGUGU
rnacentral:rRNA from 1 species